rnacentral:rRNA from 1 species
AGAGUUUGAUCCUGGCUCAGGACGAACGCUGGCGGCGUGCUUAACACAUGCAAGUCGAACGAUGAAGCCCUUCGGGGUGGAUUAGUGGCGAACGGGUGAGUAACACGUGGGCAAUCUGCCCUGCACUCUGGGACAAGCCCUGGAAACGGGGUCUAAUACCGGAUAUGACCUUCUCCCUCGUGGGAGUUGGUGGAAAGCUCCGGCGGUGCAGGAUGAGCCCGCGGCCUAUCAGCUUGUUGGUGGGGUAAUGGCCUACCAAGGCGACGACGGGUAGCCGGCCUGAGAGGGCGACCGGCCACACUGGGACUGAGACACGGCCCAGACUCCUACGGGAGGCAGCAGUGGGGAAUAUUGCACAAUGGGCGAAAGCCUGAUGCAGCGACGCCGCGUGAGGGAUGACGGCCUUCGGGUUGUAAACCUCUUUCAGCAGGGAAGAAGCGCAAGUGACGGUACCUGCAGAAGAAGCACCGGCUAACUACGUGCCAGCAGCCGCGGUAAUACGUAGGGUGCGAGCGUUGUCCGGAAUUAUUGGGCGUAAAGAGCUCGUAGGCGGCUUGUCGCGUCGGAUGUGAAAGCCCGGGGCUUAACUCCGGGUCUGCAUUCGAUACGGGCAGGCUAGAGUUCGGUAGGGGAGAUCGGAAUUCCUGGUGUAGCGGUGAAAUGCGCAGAUAUCAGGAGGAACACCGGUGGCGAAGGCGGAUCUCUGGGCCGAUACUGACGCUGAGGAGCGAAAGCGUGGGGAGCGAACAGGAUUAGAUACCCUGGUAGUCG